rnacentral:misc_RNA from 1 species
GAUGAAGAACGCAGCGAAAUGCGAUAAGUAAUGUGAAUUGCAGAAUUCAGUGAAUCAUCGAGUCUUUGAACGCACAUUGCGCCCCUUGGUAUUCCGAGGGGCAUGCCUGUUCGAGCGUCAUUAUCACCCCUCAAGCUCAGCUUGGUGUUGGGGCCGGCCCGUCACAGGGCCGCCCCUAAAAGCAGUGGCGGUGCCAUCUGGCUCUACGCGUAGUAAUACUCCUCGCGACAGAGUCCCGGUGGUGUCCUGCCAGAACCCCCCAUCUUUUUAAUGAUUGACCUCGGAUCAGGUAGGGAUACCCGCUGAACUUAAGCAUAUCAAUAAGCGGAGGA